rnacentral:rRNA from 1 species
GACGAACACUGGCGGCGCGCUUAACACAUGCAAGUCGAACGGAAAGGCCUGCUUUCCCUUGUGGAUUGCGGGUACUCGAGUGGCGAACGGUUGAGUAACACGUGAGUGAUCUGCCCCCAACUUGGGUAUAAGCCUGGGAAACUGGGUCUAAUUCCCGAUAGUACUGCAGGGUGGUGCCUGUGGUGGAAAACGAUUUUCUAGUGGUUGGGGAUGAGCUCGCGGCCUAUCAGCUUGUUGGUGGGGUAGUGGCCUACCAAGGCGGCGACGGGUAGCCGGCCUGAGAGGGUGGACGGACACAUUGGGACUGAGUUACGGCCCAGACUCCGACGGGAGGCAGCAGUGGGGAAUAUUGUACAAUGGGCGGGAGCCUGAUGCAGCGACGCCGCGUGGGGGAUGACGGCCUUCGGGUUGUAAACUCCUUUCGACCGCGAGGAAGCCACCUGGUUGGAAGGGUGGUGACGGUAGUGGUAGAAGAAGCACCGGCUAACUACGUG